rnacentral:lncRNA from 1 species
CUUUUCUACAGGUUACAAGGCAGUUCUAAAGAGAGAUGGACUCUGUGUGUUUUAUCAACACGACAUCAUCCUAGUACAAUACAAUGGGUAAGAAAGUUCACAUUUACAAUGGUAGUCUAAGGACCAAAUGUAACCAAAAGGGACUUAUCAGAAGGAGGAACAAUUUUUACUGGGAAGAUAAUGAAUUCAGUUUUAAAGCCUGUCCAGGUUGAGUCCCUGUGGAGAUUUCUAGAUGCAGUUGAGACUAAGGACAAACUAUGUAAUCUCUUUUUACCUCCAUUUAUUUAAGGUACAAUAGAGAUAAUGAUAAUAUUGAUUGCAUUUCAUUUCUGUGUUAAAAGCAUUAAUAUAUGUAAAAUCUAAAAUAGUGGCUGGCAUCUUAUAGCUUUUCAAUUACUAUUAGUCAUUAUUAUUAAUAAUAUUAAUUAUAUUAACAAUAAGUUACUGAACAGUUGAAUAUACAAGUCUGGAACUGAGGAAAAUGGCCAGGGCUGUGCACAUACAUUUGAGAAAACUCAGCAUGAAGAUGAUAAUAAAAUCCAUAGGAAAAAAUGGUUUUCCUACGAGAUAGAGAGUGCAAUUUGAAAAGAGUUGAGCUAGGAUGAAAAAUAUCUCCCAGGAAUAUCUAUGUUCACAUUAUAAGCAGUGAAAGUUGAUUCAGUGAGGGCGGCUAAGGAGAAAUUGCAACAAUAUGGCCAUUUUGAAAGGAAGUCAUUAGAAAGAUUCCUAAAGAAAAUUAACUUCAUUUAGUUAGACGAUAUUUUCCAGUAAUCUGGCCAUAAAAUAAAUUUUUUUUUAAAAAAAAGCAGCCCUACAUAAAAAUAAUGUGGUAUAAAAAAUUACUGUGAAAGAGACAAUUUAUGUUUAAUUUCACCUUAUUUUCUUAGCAAUUCUACUCCAGCACCAAACUCAGCAAAGCAAAAGCUCUGCAGUUAACAUGAUACGCUCUCUCUACGUGGCAGGUUAGCAGUUCUCCAUUAUUACUGGAGCACAUUUGUCAGGGAUCUCACUCUAGCCCAGAUGACUUAUUAGAGCAGUCUUCCAACUACACCUACUAUUAUCCCAUGGGGACUUCACUAAAUACCCUUUUCUCCACUUCAUUAUACAUUCGGUGAUGUUUUCCAGUGAUGUAUGAGUGCUUGUUACACAUCUACUCCCUGGGCACCUGUCUGCUGUUUGGUGUGUCAACACUUUUUUUUAUUUUUAGAACAUUUUUUUAUCUGAUAGCAUUUAUAUUGUGACCCAUCUCUUUUCAUGUGAAGGUUACAAGUGCUAACUCUGCUACCCUCAAACCCAGGUACAAAACCUUGUUCUUCGUUCUACUAGCUAUGUGAUUUUGAGCAAAUUAUCUAACCUCUCUAUGCCUUUGUGCCUCCAAUUCCUUAUUUGUAAAAUGAAGAUUACAACAAUAGUGUGUUCUUCAUAAUGUGAUGCCUGACAUAUUAUGUGCAUUGUAAUUAUAUGUUAUUAUUAUCAUUCCCAAAACCUGUCAGGUACUUGACGAUGAAUAAGACAUAUGUAUUCUCUGCUGCAGGAAGCUUGCACUAUAAUAAAGGAAUUUGAUGUUUAAGCAAACCACUAGAGUAUAGCAUCAUUGCUCCUUUAGAGACGUUUCAACCAGGUACAGCAUUUGAACAAUGAAAAAUAUUUAAUCAGCUUUGCUUAGGGCAGAGUGAGUAUGGGAGAUACAGGUAAGGUGUCACAAGAAAACAAAACAUUAACAUGCUGCUUGAGAGAUUACUAGACUUUUGCUCAAUCAUAUAUGGGAAAGAUUUUUAUAGGGUUUAACAAUAAGGAAGAGGAAAAUAAAAGAUCAAACAACCAUUGUCAUGUCAAUACCUAUAAGUGAAAGCUGGCCAGAUGGAUAAGACAAAAUUAUAGGAAAAAUAAGUGUGAAACAGAGGAAGUAAAAAUAGUAAAUGCAUGCAUGUUUUCCUAACAUAAAAUAAGUGUGACGCUUGUGAAAAUAUUUUCUGGUUUUGCUAUUGUAUUGGGAAAGAUGAUAUGACAAUAGGAAUAAUGUGGUGACGUGUGAAUAAUGACUAAAAACCUAAGAAUCAAACAUGAAAGUGCUUUGAAAUUUAC